AAAUAAACAAAACUUGGGGUCAUACUGCCCAGAAACUCUUAUUCCUAGUCUGUGUCCAACAAACUCAGGGUAAUCAUAAAACAACUUAUAACAACUUAUUCAAUUCAUUGGAUAUCGUCAUAUCCAGAAACCUAUUCUCCCUAGUCCAUACAUUUAUAGACUUAGUUUAAAUAUAAUUGUGUACUAUACUCUUAACUAAACUUCAAUUCAAUUCCUCUUGGAUCUCUGAACUCUUAAAUCCAAGGCAUUCUUAAUGUAUAUAAUUACUUCAUAUUAAUCAAUAUAAAUUAUCCUUAAUAUAAAUUAUCCUUCCUUAGUUUUCUUCCUUAUGUUACCAUUGUUUGUUUUACUUCACCUCGAUUAUAAACAAAAUAUUUAUUCUAGUGAAUCUAUGAAAUACCAUUGCACUCAAUCUUUGUAGUAUUAAGUAACCAUGAUCCUUAUUUUAUCAACUUCAUAUUUUUUCUACCUCUGAUACUUCUCAUCCUAUGUAUAGGUCAUAAUAUAAUAGUUCUUUUCAUAAUACUACCCUAUCAUAAUUUUACUCCAUGUGUGAUAUAGUUAUAAGUACUCUCUUUUGGUAUUAAUACACUCAUAACUGUUAAAU